rnacentral:tRNA from 1 species
UGCGGUUGUAGUCUAGCCUGGUUAGGACUUGGGGUUUCCAACCCCAUAACCCGGGUUCAAAUCCCGGCGACCGCAUCC